rnacentral:rRNA from 1 species
CAGGGAUUGCCCUAGUAACGGCGAGUGAAGCGGCAACAGCUCAAAUUUGAAAUCUGGCGUCUUUGGCGUCCGAGUUGUAAUUUGCAGAGGGCGCUUUGGCAUUGGCAGCGGUCCAAGUUCCUUGGAACAGGACGUCACAGAGGGUGAGAAUCCCGUACGUGGUCGCUAGCCUUUACCGUGUAAAGCCCCUUCGACGAGUCGAGUUGUUUGGGAAUGCAGCUCUAAAUGGGAGGUAAAUUUCUUCUAAAGCUAAAUACUGGCCAGAGACCGAUAGCGCACAAGUAGAGUGAUCGAAAGAUGAAAAGCACUUUGGAAAGAGAGUUAAAAAGCACGUGAAAUUGUUGAAAGGGAAGCGCUUGCAGCCAGACUUGCCUGUAGUUGCUCAUCCGGGUUUCUACCCGGUGCACUCUUCUAUAGGCAGGCCAGCAUCAGUUUGGGCGGUUGGAUAAAGGUCUCUGUCAUGUACCUCCUUUCGGGGAGAACUUAUAGGGGAGACGACAUGCAACCAGCCUGGACUGAGGUCCGCGCAUCUGCUAGGAUGCUGGCGUAAUGGCUGUAAGCGGCCCGUCUUGAAACACGGACCAAGGAGUCUAACAUCUAUGCGAGUGUUUGGGUGUCAAGCCCGAGCGCGUAAUGAAAGUGAACGGAGGUGGGAACCUUUCGGGGUGCACCAUCGACCGAUCCUGAUGUCUUCGGAUGGAUUUGAGUAAGAGCAUAGCUGUUGGGACCCGAAAGAUGGUGAACUAUGCUUGAAUAGGGUGAAGCCAGAGGAAACUCUGGUGGAGGCUCGCAGCGGUUCUGACGUGCAAAUCGAUCGUCAAAUUUGGGCAUA